rnacentral:rRNA from 1 species
GACGAACGCUGGCGGCGCGCUUAACACAUGCAAGUCGAACGAAAAGAGGGAAAGAGCUUGCUCUUUCCGGAAUUGAGUGGCAAACGGGUGAGUAACACGUAAACAACCUGCCUUCAGGAUGGGGACAACAGACGGAAACGACUGCUAAUACCGAAUAAGUUCCAAGAGCCGCAUGGCCCAUGGAAGAAAAGGUGGCCUCUACCUGUAAGCUAUCGCCUGAAGAGGGGUUUGCGUCUGAUUAGCUGGUUGGAGGGGUAACGGCCCACCAAGGCGACGAUCAGUAGCCGGUCUGAGAGGAUGAACGGCCACACUGGAACUGAGACACGGUCCAGACUCCUACGGGAGGCAGCAGGGGGGAAUCUUCCGCAAUGGGCGAAAGCCUGACGGAGCAACGCCGCGGGAGUGAUGACGGCCUUCGGGUUGUAAAACUCUGUGAUCCGGGACGAAAAGGCAGAGUGCGAAGAACAAACUGCAUUGACGGUACCGGAAAAGCAAGCCACGGCUAACUACGUG